rnacentral:rRNA from 1 species
GCGUAAGUGUUUAAGGGCGCAUGGUGGAUGCCUUGGCAUCAGAGGCCGAUGAAGGACGUAGGAGGCUGCGAUAAGCCUCGGGGAGCUGCCAACCGAGCUUUGAUCCGAGGAUGUCCGAAUGGGGAAACCCAGCACGAGUGAUGUCGUGUUACCCACAUCUGAAUAUAUAGGGUGUGGGAGGUAACGCGGGGAAGUGAAACAUCUCAGUACCCGUAGGAAGAGAAAACAAUUGUGAUUCCGUGAGUAGUGGCGAGCGAAAGCGGAUGAGGCUAAACCGCAUGCAUGUGAUACCGGGUAGGGGUUGUGUGUGCGGGGUUGUGGGACCCAUCUUUCCAGGGCUAUCCCUCUGGAGGGCAGUAAAAAAAUGUCGUGGUUAACGGAAGUGGCUUGGGAUGGCCUGCCGUAGAGGGUGAGAGUCCCGUACGUGAAAACCCGAUGUCUGCCUUGAUGGUGUUCCCGAGUAGCAGCGGGCCCGUGAAAUCUGCUGUGAAUCUGCCGGGACCACUCGGUAAGCCUAAAUACCUUCUGAUGACCGAUAGCGGAUUAGUACCGUGAGGGAAUGGUGAAAAGUACCCCGGGAGGGGAGUGAAAUAGUACCUGAAACCGUGUGCCUACAAUCCGUCAGAGCCCUCGAAUGCGUGGGGUGAUGGCGUGCCUUUUGAAGAAUGAGCCUGCGAGUCAGGGACAUGUCGCGAGGUUAACCCGUGGGGGGUAGCCGUAGCGAAAGCGAGUCUGAAUAGGGCGUAUCCCGUAAGGGUGUAGUGGCGUGUUCUGGACCCGAAGCGGAGUGAUCUACCCAUGGCCAGGGUGAAGCGCGGGUAAGACCGCGUGGAGGCCCGAACCCACUUAGGUUGAAGACUGAGGGGAUGAGUUGUGGGUAGGGGUGAAAGGCCAAUCAAACUCCGUGAUAGCUGGUUCUCCCCGAAAUGCAUUUAGGUGCAGCGUUGCGUGUUUCACCACGGAGGUAGAGCUACUGGAUGGCCGAUGGGCCCUACUAGGUUACUGACGUCAGCCAAACUCCGAAUGCCGUGGUGUAUAGCGUGUCAGUGAGACGGCGGGGGAUAAGCUCCGUACGUCGAAAGGGAAACAGCCCAGAUCGCCGGCUAAGGCCCCUAAGCGUGUGCUAAGUGGAAAAGGAUGUGCAGUCGCAAAGACAACCAGGAGGUUGGCU